CCUGUGACAUAUGGAAGUUCCCAGGCCAGGGAUCGAAUCCUAGCUGCAGCUACAGUAACUCACUGUGCUGAGCCAGGGAUUGAACCAGCACUGCUGCAGAGACACCACCAGAUCCUUAACCGAGUGCACCACAGUGGGAACUCCAAUCAAAUAUUUAAAUAGGAAAUGAUUAAUACUUUCUUAUUACAAUUUAUAUAUAUAAAUAUAUACAUAUGCUUAGCCUCCAAAUCAGCAUCUGAUAAGAGGGGGAAUACCUGAAGUCAAGUUUAAGGCAUGGACUCCCAUUAUUUCUACCACUUAUUAUGAUUGGAGGUAUUAGCAAACAUAAUUAGUAAAAAAAAAAGAAUUGGAAAGGAAAAGAUAAAAUUAUCUCUAUUUGCUGAAGACAUGAUAGAAUACCUAGAAAACUAGAAUAUAAAAACAUAUAAAAAUCAACACAAAAGAAAAGAAACCAAGAUUAAAUGCUUGAGUAUAAACUUAGAAAUUUGCAACACUUACAUGAAUGAAAGUUUAAAACUAACUCCUGAUGGACUGAGAAAUUCAAGAGUAAAUUUGACUAAGCGGAAUGAUGUCUCUCGUUCUUGGUCAAUUCAUCAUCAUAAAAAUAUUAGCUCUCUCCAAGUUAAUAUGUACGUUUAACCUGAAACCAAUAAAAGUUUGGAUUGAAAUAGGGUCUACUCCAGGUAACUGACUGAUAUCUUUUAAGUCUCUUCCUAUUUACAGCGCUUCUUAGUCUCUCACCCUUUCCCUUUUCCUCACACUAAGACCACCAUCCCCAGGUAAUCUCUCUAGCAAGACAGACCUCAUUAUGCGAUGGCUGUUUUCUGAGAACAAGGAGGAGGCAGCAAGAUCUUUAAGAUGCAGCCUUGCAAGCUGCGUGUCACUUCUGACACAUAUUAUUAAUCAUAGUCAGUCACUGGGCCAGCCCAGAUUCAAGGAAAAGGGAAAUAGACUCUUAUCUCAAUUUGAAAAACUGGCAAAGUAACAUUGUAAAAAAUAAAAAAGCAUGUGGGAUGGGAACUACUGUUACAGCCAUCUUUGCAAACACAAUCUACCAUAAAAUGCAAAUGAAAACUACAAAAAAACUUUCGCAUCCAUCAAAUUGCAAAAAUCUAAAAGUUGACAGUGGCAGGCUCGAAAGAAAUAGGCAAUCUCAUGCACUGCAGGUGGAAGUAGAGUGUGGUAAAGGCGCUAUGCAAGGGAAUCUGACAAUAAUUACCCUUUGACAGCAAUCAAUCAUAAUCCUACUUCUACCUACUUGAAUAGAAUAUGUACAUAUGCUGGUUGCGUUAACUUCACUUUUCUUUUCCUUGACCCAUAAGAGUAAGCAGUACAGAAGCUAUGAUUUUCAUUCUUUUAAAAUAACUAAAAGCAUCAUCAACUGAUAUGCUGAGCACCAUUGCUGGUCUUAUAUUCUGAUAAACAGAGGAACUCACGGUAUAUCUGAUAAGGUCUGAUUCUGCAAGUAACUUAAUAUUCUGCAUAUUUAUGUAAAGAUGAACUUUAGCUUCCAAGUUAUUCUUAAAUUAAUAUGUAAUGAAAUCAUUUGUCUGGGUAUUUCCUAUGCAUUCCCGUUAAUCUCCUAAUGACUUUAUAUUAGGCAUUGCACCUCACACUCCAAAAUUAGUAACAGACUUAUCAGAACUAUUUUCACAUAUACAUAUACUCCAUGUACACCUGAACAUAAGCAGGUUUAUUUCUAACUAUCCCUCAGAAGUCUUCUUUGUUGAGGCCUCACAAAAUCUCUUUACAAGGAGUACUCUCAAUUAUUUAUUUGAAUUUCAGGUAAUAGUUGGGAAAUCACAUUAGACUGAAGCCACUUCUAUCAAUGUUACUUUCAGAAAGCUAAAAAUAAAUAAAUAAAUAAAUAAGCCACCAGGUGAAGUAUUUAAAAACAAGACAUCUUAGUUCCCAUUGUGGCUGAAUGGGUUAAGAACCCAAAUAGUAUCCAUGAGGAUGGGGGUUUGAUCCCUGGCCUUGCUCAGUGGGUUAAGGAUCCGGUGUUACUGUGAGCUGCAGCACAGGCCACAGAUGACGCUGGGAUCUGGUGUUGCUGUGGCUGUGGCAUAUGCCUUAGCUGCAGCUCCGAUUCAACCCCAGCCUGGGAACUUACAUAUGCCACAGGUGUGGCCCUGAAAAGAAAAAUAAUAAUAAAAAAAAGAGAUAAAGAAAUAUAACAAUGACUUAGUUAUUAUUCUUAGAGACAUGAUCUCAAAAACAAGCAUAGUAUGCAUUACAACAAGCAUUUUAAAGAUCACUUUUGGCACAACACGGUAAAUCAAUUAUACUCUAAUUUUUAAAAAGUAAAAAAAUAAAGAUCACUUUUAAGAACAAUAGAAGUGGUUAUACAAUGCAGAAAUUAAUUACCUACAGGAUGCAUGAAAACCAUUUCUAAUUUGAUAUUUAUACAAUGAAUAAUCUGAAGCAUGAAAUUUCUUUUAUCAUACCUGUGUAAAACAUUCCUAUCUUUCAAAACAAAUUAUUUUUCCUAUUAUAGUUGCUUUAUAAUGUUCUGCCAAUUUCUGCUGUACCGUCACACACACACGCACACAUUCUUUUUCUCUCAUUAUCCUCCAUCAUGUUCCAUCACAAGUGA
rnacentral:lncRNA from 1 species